CCCCUCUCAGAUUCACGCAUUAUUGCAGCGGUCCUUCAGUUUUUAUAAGCCCCGUAAAAGAACUCAGUAGGUUGUGCCUCCAACCAGGCCCUUUAUAAUACCCUUAAAGCCAGGAACUUUUCACCACUCCCUCGUAACAUGAAUGUUGUUUAC